rnacentral:rRNA from 1 species
CACGCCGUAAACUAAUGCGCGUUAGGUGUAUCGGUGACCACGAGUUACCGAGGUGCCGAAGGGAAACCGUGAAACGUAGCCGCCUGGGAAGUACGGUCGCAAGGCUGAAACUUAAAGGAAUUGGCGGGGGAGGCACAACAACGGGUGGAGCCUGCGGUUUAAUUGGACUCAACGCCGGACAACUCACCGGGGACGACAGCAAUAUGUAGGCCAGGCUGAAGACCUUGCCUGAAUCGCUGAGAGGAGGUGCAUGGCGUAGACGUCU